UACGUAGGGACCGAGCGUUGUCCGGAUUCAUUGGGCGUAAAGAGCUCGUAGGCGGCCACUCAAGUCGAAUGUGAAACCUCGAGGCUUAACCUCGAGCCUGCAUUCGAUACUGGGCGGCUAGAGUCUGGUAGGGGGAUCUGGAAUUCCUGGUGAGCGGUGGAAUGCGCAGAUAUCAGGAGGAACACCGGUGGCGAAGGCGGGUCUCUGGGCCGAUACUGACGCUGAGGAGCGAAAGCGUGGGGAGCGAACAGG
rnacentral:rRNA from 1 species